rnacentral:rRNA from 1 species
CCGCCCGUCACGUCAUGGGAGUUGUCAAUGCUUGAAGUCCGUGGGCUGACCGGUGGAAACACGGGGGGCAGCGGCCGAGGGCAGGGGCAGCGACUGGGACG